UACGUAGGGGGCAAGCGUUGUCCGGAUUUAUUGGGCGUAAAGAGCGUGUAGGCGGCCACACAGGUCAGCUGUGAAAACUCGAGGCUCAACCUCGAGACGUCGGUUGAAACCGUAUGGCUAGAGUCCGGAAGAGGAGAGUGGAAUUCCCGGUGUAGCGGUGAAAUGCGCAGAUAUCGGGAAGAACACCCGUGGCGAAGGCGGCUCUCUGGGACGGUACUGACGCUGAGGCGCGAAGGCGUGGGGAGCGAACGGG
rnacentral:rRNA from 1 species